CUUGUUGGUGGCAGAAGGGGACUAGGACCAGGCUGCUGUCAUAAACCACCCUCCAGGUAGCUGCUGGAUCAUCUGGCCUUUGUGACCCAAAGAGGGCCGAGUCACACAGAUAAACAGGACACCUCUGAUGGCUUCAACUCUGGACAGCAACAAUGACCCCAGUCACUCCCACCCCAAAGCCAGGGAAACAUCAUCUUGUCACCUCUGGAUUUCUCCUCACCCCCUUGGGUUAAAGCUGAGCAGACAGGGUGGCACUUCUGAAUUCAGAGGCUGCAAUGAGCUGAGAAAAACAAGCAUCUGUGGCCCCCUCCAGGACCCACCAAGUAGAGGGGAUGUUGCCCCGGGUGCUGCAGGAGAGUCUCAUUCUGUCACCCAGGCUAGAGUGCAGUGGCGUGAUCUCGGCUUACUGCAACCUCUGCCUACCAGUUCAAGCGAUUCUCCUGCCUCAGCCUCCUGAGUAGCUGGGACUACAGAUGAGAAACAACACUGAGACUCAGCCGGGUUACGUAAAACAUCCAAAGCUAUGCAGCAGGCUGAUGGCCAGCUGAGACCUAAAUUUAGGCCUCACUGACUCCUACCUUGGGCAUGUAAGCACCAGUUGGAUCAGAUACACCAGUCUCCAGGUUGGAUCAUAUGCUUCUUGAGGACAAAGAGGUGCAUUUGUCUUUCCAUGAAUCUGCUCAACUACUCCAAGCUAGACAGGUGAUGGCUAAGAGGACAUCUUCAGGAAUUACUCCAUUUCCAUGUGGGGGAAACUGAGGCCCAGAAAGGGAUGUGAUCUGCCCGAUUGUGCAGAAUUCAGAGCCCAGCUGGAACCUGAAUGUCCUGACCCCCCAUCCAGUGCCCCCCUUCCUACUCUACGCUGCCUCUCGGGUGACACACACAGCAGCAAGUGAGCCCUGCAGACAGAGACAUUCUAGAACCCAGGCCUGGGACCAGCGCUCAGGAGCCAUACUCUCAGCUAGAUUGCCUUCAGCCUGCCAGGAGGAGGAGCAGCCCAGUCCAGACUGAAAGCCUCCAAGGAGGAAGUUCUACCGGCUUCUCCAUGCCUCCAAACCCACUGUACCUUGUGCAUUCCAUCUGGAAUUUUCUUCUGUUGAAAGGAAGGUGCUGGGUGGGAGGAGGAGGGAGAGGAUCAGGAAAAAUAACUAAUAAAUACUAGGCUUAAUAUCUGACACAAGUUUACGUAUAUAACAAACCUGCACAUGUACCCCUGAACUUAAAAGAAAAGUUAAACAAAAAAUAAAGGUGCUGUUGCCAUGGCCCAAGCCACAGCGUCUAGAGCUGUACCAUCCAAUACGCUAGCUGUUAGCCACAUGCAGCUCCUGAGUACUUGAAACGUGGCUAGAGCAAAUCGAGAUGUGAUGUCACUGUAAAGCAUACACUGGCUUUCGAAGACAGUACAGAAAAAGGUAAAAAGGUAAAAUAUUAAUAUGCUUACAUUUAUGUUUUAUGUUGAAACAAUAUUUUU